GCAGUCGUGGCCGAGUGGUUAAGGCGUCUGUACUAGAAAUCAGAUUCCCUCUGGGAGCGUAGGUUCGAGUCCUACCGACUGCG